GAUGAACGCUGGCGGCGCGCCUAAUACAUGCAAGUCGAGCGAACGGACGAGAAGCUUGCUUCUCUGAUGUUAGCGGCGGACGGGUGAGUAACACGUGGAUAACCUACCUAUAAGACUGGGAUAACUUCGGGAAACCGGAGCUAAUACCGGAUGAUAUUUUGAACCGCAUGGUUCAAAAGUGAAAGACGGUCUUGCUGUCACUUAUAGAUGGAUCCGCGCUGCAUUAGCUAGUUGGUAAGGUAACGGCUUACCAAGGCAACGAUGCAUAGCCGACCUGAGAGGGUGAUCGGCCACACUGGAACUGAGACACGGUCCAGACUCCUACGGGAGGCAGCAGUAGGGAAUCUUCCGCAAUGGGCGAAAGCCUGACGGAGCAACGCCGCGUGAGUGAUGAAGGUCUUCGGAUCGUAAAACUCUGUUAUUAGGGAAGAACAUAUGUGUAAGUAACUGUGCACAUCUUGACGGUACCUAAUCAGAAAGCCACGGCUAACUACGUG
rnacentral:rRNA from 1 species